rnacentral:tRNA from 1 species
ACGAAAGUAGCUUAAUGGUUAAAGUGUAACCUUGCCAAGGUUAAGGUUGAGGGUUCGAGUCCCUUCUUUCGUA